rnacentral:tRNA from 1 species
UGGGCGGGAGCUUAGCGCAGGGAGUUCUCGCCUGGUAUGCGAGAAACCCGGGUUCGACUCCCGGCUGUCCUG